UACGUAGGUGGCAAGCGUUGUCCGGAUUUAUUGGGUUUAAAGGGUGCGUAGGCGGUUGGCUAAGUCAGUUGUGAAAUAGGGCAGCUUAACUGUCCAGGUGCAAUUGAAACUGGCUAACUUGAGUACAGACGAGGUAGGCGGAAUUGACGGUGUAGCGGUGAAAUGCAUAGAUAUCGUCAAGAACACCGAUAGCGUAGGCAGCUUACUAGACUGUAACUGACGCUGAGGCACGAAAGUGUGGGAAUCAAACAGG
rnacentral:rRNA from 1 species